rnacentral:rRNA from 1 species
CCUACGGGAGGCAGCAGUAGGGAAUUUUCGUCAAUGGGCGCAAGCCUGAACGAGUGAUGCCGCGUGAGUGAAGAAGGCCUUCGGGUCGUAAAGCUCUGUUGCGGGGGAAAAAAGGCCGCAUCAGGAAAUGGGUGCUGACUGAUGGUGCCCCGCCAGAAAGUCACGGCUAACUACGUGCCAGCAGCGGCGGUAAUACGUAGGUGGCGAGCGUUAUCCGGAUUGAUUGGGGGUAAAGGGUGCGCAGGCGGUCCUGCAAGUCUGGAGGGAAACAGAUGGGCUCAAAUCCUGCACGGCUUUGGAAACUGGGGGACUGGAGGGGGGGAGAGGGAGGUGGAACUCCAUGUGUAGCGGUAAAAUGCGUAGAUAUAUGGAAGAACCCCAGUGGCGAAGGCGGCCGCCUGGCCUGUUGCUGACGCUGAGGCACGAAAGCGUGGGGAGCAAAUAGGAUUAGAUACCCUGGUAGUC